rnacentral:lncRNA from 1 species
GGUUCCAGGAACUUCUUGGGGACUCUAUUUUAAGAAAAUUACUAUUCAUAAUGAUUUGGCAAACUUCUUGCUAAAGAUGCUCUGAUGUAUUUGUCAUCCAAGAAAGCUCAUCAGCCAUUUUCUCCAAAAAAACUAUUCAAUAAAAGGAAUCAAAUACAACUUUCCACUGAAUGAAUGUGCCUAGUUUUAUGAUUCAGUAUUUUUAUUCUCCUGAUUCAAGAAGAAGUUGUUAUCAGCCCAUAUGAAACUGGUUUUGACUUUAUAUUGUGUCAGGAUUUCUAUUGAAAAAUCAAGAUCCAAACAUUUCUGACUUACUGGUGUGUGACAAUGGAUGCAUGGCAAAUUUCUUUCCAGAAUGAUUAUUAAAUGUGAAACAACUACCCAGAAACUGUAACACAUUUAACCUUGUGUGGCAUUUUUUGGGAGCCCUGAAUGUAGGUGGCUCCAAUAGCAGUUGAAAAAAGACCAUUUUAUAAAGUGAUUCAGAUAUGUGACCAACUCUUCAUUUCCAUGUCUCUUUUCCAAUUACAACCCAGGCUCAAAACACCUGUAAAAACGCAUUUCCUACAAGGUUGCUACUUACCUUAACUGACGAACUUCUCCCUUGGAGCUAAGGUUUUCUCAUCUCUGUGUAUUUUAUAAGAAAGGGGGAUAUAAAAUCAGAAUAAAGUGUUAUCUGGAUGAAAUGGAAAUAAUGUGGAGACUUCUUUAGCCAUGUGGAAUGGAAAUACACUUUGUUUUAAAAUGUGGGAAGCAGUGCUUGCUGAUGCAAUUACUUGGGCAUUAUAUGAAAAGAUAAACCUAGUGGAGAGCUCAUCUGAGUAGAUGCUAAUGAACAUCCAUCACUAAAGUACUUAGAGCUGUGACAGGAAAUAAAAUUUCACAAGAAAAGAAUGCACGCAUUCAAAAAUAUGUUUAAGGGAAAACUUUCAGGAGCACUCCAUGAACAAUUAUAAGGAUGGAAGUGAAUAAGGAAAGAGAGAAAGAACAAAAUGAGAGAAAAAAAUGAGAACAGAGUGAUAUUUUAUACCUCAAAAGUAAAAUAUGAAUAAAAAAGCAAAAAGAGCAAAUAGUGUAAUUUGUCAUGCAAAGACAAAAUGGCAGAGAGAAUGUGAAGAGGCUACUGGAUUUGGAGAUUAUCUAAUUGCAAAUUUAAAAAAAUUUAGUAUAUUUCAGCAGAAUAAGGAGACAAGAGAGAAGUUUAGUAGGUCAAAGAGUGAAUAAGGUGAAGAGCCAGAAGGAAGCAUAUAUAUUUUACCAUUAAAAGAAGAAGAUAAUAAGGAGAGAUUAGUGAUGCCUCUAGAAGGGAGAAACGUAAGGAAGAAUUGAG